rnacentral:rRNA from 1 species
GAUGAACGCUGGCGGCGUGCCUAAUACAUGCAAGUCGAGCGAACAGACGAGGAGCUUGCUCCUCUGACGUUAGCGGCGGACGGGUGAGUAACACGUGGAUAACCUACCUAUAAGACUGGGAUAACUUCGGGAAACCGGAGCUAAUACCGGAUAAUAUAUUGAACCGCAUGGUUCAAUAGUGAAAGACGGUUUUGCUGUCACUUAUAGAUGGAUCCGCGCCGCAUUAGCUAGUUGGUAAGGUAACGGCUUACCAAGGCAACGAUGCGUAGCCGACCUGAGAGGGUGAUCGGCCACACUGGAACUGAGACACGGUCCAGACUCCUACGGGAGGCAGCAGUAGGGAAUCUUCCUCAAUGGGCGAAAGCCUGACGGAGCAACGCCGCGUGAGUGGUGAAGGUCUUCGGAUCGUAAAACUCUGUUAUUAGGGAAGAACAAAUGUGUAAGUAACUAUGCACGUCUUGACGGUACCUAAUCAGAAAGCCACGGCUAACUACGUG